GACGAACGCUGGCGGCGUGCCUAAUACAUGCAAGUAGAACGCUGAAGGAGGAGCUUGCUUCUCUGGAUGAGUUGCGAACGGGUGAGUAACGCGUAGGUAACCUGCCUGGUAGCGGGGGAUAACUAUUGGAAACGAUAGCUAAUACCGCAUAAUAGCAGUUGUUGCAUGAUAACUGUUUGAAAGGUGCAAUUGCACCACUACCAGAUGGACCUGCGUUGUAUUAGCUAGUUGGUGGGGUAACGGCUCACCAAGGCGACGAUACAUAGCCGACCUGAGAGGGUGAUCGGCCACACUGGGACUGAGACACGGCCCAGACUCCUACGGGAGGCAGCAGUAGGGAAUCUUCGGCAAUGGACGGAAGUCUGACCGAGCAACGCCGCGUGAGUGAAGAAGGUUUUCGGAUCGUAAAACUCUGUUGUAAGAGAAGAACGAGUGUGAGAGUGGAAAGUUCACACUGUGACGGUAUCUUACCAGAAAGGCGGC
rnacentral:rRNA from 1 species